GUACUACUCUCAGAGUUUGAUCCUGGCUCAGGACGAACGCUGGCGGCGUGCUUAACACAUGCAAGUCGAACGGAGUUACAUUUUCGGAUGUAACUUAGUGGCGAACGGGUGAGUAACGCGUGAGGAACCUGCCUCUCAGUGGGGGACAACAGUUGGAAACGACUGCUAAUACCGCAUAAUGUCAUUGGACGGCAUCGUUUAAUGACCAAAGAUUUAUUGCUGAGAGAUGGCCUCGCGUCUGAUUAGCUAGUUGGUGGGGUAACGGCCCACCAAGGCGACGAUCAGUAGCCGGACUGAGAGGUUGACCGGCCACAUUGGGACUGAGAUACGGCCCAG
rnacentral:rRNA from 1 species